GACGAACGCUGGCGGCGUGCUUAACACAUGCAAGUCGAACGGAAAGGCCCUGCUUUUGUGGGGUGCUCGAGUGGCGAACGGGUGAGUAACACGUGAGUAACCUGCCCUUGACUUUGGGAUAACUUCAGGAAACUGGGGCUAAUACCGGAUAGGAGCUCCUGCUGCAUGGUGGGGGUUGGAAAGUUUCGGCGGUUGGGGCUGGACUCGCGGGUUAUCAGCUUGUUGGUGGGGUAGUGGCUUACCAAGGCUUUGACGGGUAGCCGGCAUGAAAGGGUGACCGGCCACAUUGGGACUGAGCUACGGCCCAGACUCCUACGGGAGGCAGCAGUGGGGAAUAUUGCACAAUGGGAUGAAGCCUGAUGCAGCAACGCCGCGUGCGGGAUGACGGCCUUCGGGUUGUAAACCGCUUUCGCCUGUGACGAAGCGUGAGUGACGGUAAUGGGUAAAGAAGCACCGGCUAACUACGUG
rnacentral:rRNA from 1 species